AUCCACUUUAAAAAACAAAACAAACCCAGAAAUGCAUUGAAAAGUUCCUAAUGGAAAGAUGUGUAAACACCCUGCAGUCAAAUCAGGAUAAAUGCAGGUUGCCAGGCCUGGCCUCCAAGAGGUCUUCUGUAGCUUUAAAAGUUGUGCAGAGGGGAGGGAGAAUUCCACCUUGUGGUUUUUCCCAUUACAGAGUUGCAAGAACACCUGCACUUGGCUGACUAUCUCUUCUCCUAAAGAUACAGGAUCAGUCUCAGGCCAUGGACCUGGCAACCCUACUGCCAAGUGAAGUGAGGUGGGCUUCUACUAAGGAGAGGGCAUUCUUGGUGAUGGCACCUUGAUUUAGGAAAAGCCUCCCCACAGAGGCUUGCAUACUACCAUCUUUUUGGUGUCUCAGGUGGAGCUCCUGAUAUAAUGUUAUCUAGGGCAUUGUGGGAACUUUAAUUGGAUGCUCAGACAUUCAGCUGUGGAAGACCUGGGUAGGAGGUGCCAAUGCCUCAGACUCAGUCACAAAAAAAAGUUACAAAUGGAGAGCGGAGUUGGAGUGGAAAGCACUUCAAAUGGAGAACCGCCCUCUGUAUGGAUUGACCACCCUACCCACGAUGAGGCAGAUUAUGUUGAGAGGUAGUGACUUAAUCCAAGCUCCUCCACUGCUCUGGGCUGACUGAGAGCAGUCCCACCUCCCUAUGAAAGAAGCUGUUGCCUGGAAUUGUCUUGCUGUGCUGGGUGAAGAAGCCUCUUUCCAGAGGGUGUCAACUGGCACUGGGUUGGUGCUGAGCAGCUAUUUCUGACAUGCUAUUUUUGAAUUAUUCAGAGUCUGUAUUGCUUUGCAUUAAUUGUUAAUUGAAUUGUUCACUUUUGCUUUGCUUUUACAUUGUUGUGGGCUUUUUAAUAUGAUUACAUUGAGGGAAAUGUUGGCUCAUUUUUAAUGCUUUGUUAUUGUAAGUCACUUUGAGCUCAGCGUUCUUGGAGAAGCAGUAGGCAAAUAUUAAAUCAAAUCAAA